rnacentral:misc_RNA from 1 species
GUUCUCUUCACGACAGCACUCACACGCAGACACGUUCUAAAAAUAGUGCACCUCACACCGAGACAGCCCCCCCACUGCCCGCAGCGCCGCAUACCUCCACACACAGUGCAACGUCAGCAUUUGUCAGAGCUUGUAAAGAUGAUGUCUCUGAAGACCGCUCAUGUGCCCAUAAUCCUCGUGGGUUGCGUUGGUCUCUCCAGUUUUGCGAUGGAUGCCCUUGGCGCGCGCCUUCAGACGAAGAUGAGUAUGCGCCAGCGCCGCUCUUGGCUGACGGCGAAUCAAUACCACAUGGUCCACACAGUGGCUCUGGCGGCUAUUGCUUGGAUGAUGACGCUGGCAAAGGAGUCUCCCGAGGCGUCCUCGCGACUCAGCAAGGGCUUCUACCUGGUACUAGCCGGGGCCCUUGGAUUUGCCGGCUCCAUCUACUCGCUGUGCCUCCGCAUCUGCCCCAAGUUUAUGGGCCCGCUCACCCCCACCAGUGGGCUUGUGCUGGUGCUGGGGUGGACAAACGUGGCACUGGCGGGCCUGUACUGGUGACGAGAGAAGGCAAAGCAAGGAGAGCACCAAAGGACGAGAGCAACGAUAGCAUAUACGGAGAGAGGUGCUGUGAAGACGUCGCUUUCGAGCGUCUUGAGGGAAGGGUUAUUAUUCGUGUUGUUCUGUUCUUCGUUUGCGAGGAGUCGGCUACGUUGAGCAUCGUAACUGCUGUUGCUGCGCCGCUCUUCACCAUAUCCCCUGCAUCUGAUCACGCUCGCUGAGGUACAGCGCUUGGAGGAGGAGACUCGGGUAGAAGUGGGUCUGGGGAAGGGCCUGAGGUGGUGUCCGUGGCUCGUAGUCUGGCUCACUGGUUGAACUUUUCUUUUCCGGUGCACGCAUGCGUUUGUCUUUCCAUAGCUGUUCCCGCUGCGCGUUGUACUCCUCCGCAAGUGCAUCGGUGCCUCUGUUGUUGCGGUUGGAGGGGUGGUUCCUGUCGGACAUAUUUUCAAGGCUUGCGCAUAUAUAUAUAUAUAUAUGUGCGUCUGUGUCCUCCUCUUUACGCAGCCGUCCAUCAGAGCCUGAGAGGGAGAAAGGCGAAGCGCCUGCCGUCAAGUGUUUUGCAUGGUUGUAUGGGCCUAUGUCGGAGAAAAAGCUUCACCCUUGCCAUCGCUCGUGAGCUCGCGUUCGGGUCGCUCUUGGUCAAGGGCGUGGUUAAGUUGAUGGUGUCAAUGGUGUGCCGGUCAUUAUGUGCAAUGGCCUCCGCGUUGCACCUCCCCUCUUUUUCGUUUACGCUUGGCCCUUCCUUCGCUGCUUGGAUGUCUUUUGCCGGACUCUCUCGCACACACCCGGGCCCUCUCUGCCUCUGCCUCUUCACAAG